rnacentral:sRNA from 1 species
AUAAAAAAAGGGUUGUAGGGGAUGAAAUCCCCUGCCGCCUUCAGGAAGAUGCUCAGACAGCUUUGCUGUCGUCGACGCUUUU